CGCCUACGGGAGGCAGCAGUGGGGAAUAUUGGACAAUGGGCGGAAGCCUGAUCCAGCCAUGCCGCGUGAGUGAAGAAGGCCUUCGGGUUGUAAAGCUCUUUCAGAUGCGAAGAUGAUGACGGUAACAUCAGAAGAAGCCCCGGCUAAUUUCGUGCCAGCAGCCGCGGUAAUACGAAAGGGGCAAGCGUUGUUCGGAUUUACUGGCGUAAGGGCACGCAGGCGGUCUUGCCAGUCAGGGGUGAAAGCCCGGGGCUCAACCCCGGAACUGCCUCUGAUACUGCAGGACUAGAGACUAGGAGAGGGUGGUGGAAUUCCCAGUGUAGAGGUGAAAUUCGUAGAUAUUGGGAGGAACACCAGAGGCGAAGGCGGCCACCUGGACUAGAUCUGACGCUCAGGUGCGAAAGCGUGGGGAGCAAACAGGAUUAGAUACCCUGGUAGUCCACGCCGUAAACGAUGAGUGCUAGUUGUCGGGACUUCGGUUUCGGUGACGCAGCUAACGCAUUAAGCA
rnacentral:rRNA from 1 species